GCAACGUAGAUUGUGCCUUCUUGUUCACCUUCCUCCAUCUUGUCCUUUCUCCCUCACCCAAACACUGACCACAGAGGAGGCUAAUUGGUGUUGGGUCUCCCACCAGCUUCAGGGAACCUCCUUGCAAUAAGAGCUGAAGUUGCAGGACAAUUGGCUAAUCUGAAAUCUAAAGGAAAACAGAUGCCUCCAAGAAGACGUGAGCCUUGAGCAAAUGCCUCCCUGGGGCAGAGGCUGGACACCAAAUAAACUGCACACCAGGAGAGCACAGGGAUCUCAAGAAGAAAAGAGCAAGGCCUGAGAAUGGAGGACUCCGGGUGUUGAAAUCUUGGUAACUGGGGUGGUGCCCGUGGAGAAGAGGGCAGGGUAAGGUGCCUCCACACAACUGCCAUGGGUUCUAGAAGGUGGCAAGGACCAAAAAGUAUAAAAACAGACAAAGAUACUGAGGAUGGGAGAACAUAAGCAACUUGCAGGAGAUCCCAUAACUGGUAAAUAGAGCAGAGUUGGAAGCCGGAAUUCACGCCAAGGUUUCUCACUCACCAGCUUUACAACCUUAAGCAGCCUUCACUUCUUUGAGCCUCGGUUUCCUUCUGUAACUCACAAAUGGCACAAACAGUAUAGGGCAGUUCUACACAUUAAAGUCCAUUCACACGAGUGUGCCUUACUGUCUGUGAGCUGUAAAUGUUUGAGACAUUACUACCAAUAUCUUCCUCCAUGUAAUAAGAUCUGUGUACUUCCUAAUAGCACACUUCUCCCCCUAUUUGGUG